AACGUAGGUUCCGAGCGUUAUCCGGAUUUACUGGGCGUAAAGCGCGUUCAGGCGGUUUGGCAAGUCGGGCAUGAAAUCUCUCGGCUCAACCGGGAGAGGUUGUCCGAUACUGCUGGACUUGAGGGCAGUAGAGGGUGGUGGAAUUCCGGGUGUAGUGGUGAAAUGCGUAGAUAUCCGGAGGAACACCAGCGGCGAAGGCGGCAUCCUGGACUGGUCCUGACACUCAGGAGCGAAAGCGUGGGGAGCGAUCCGG
rnacentral:rRNA from 1 species